rnacentral:rRNA from 1 species
GCAUGAGUGAAGAAGGCCUUUGGGUUGUAAAGCUCUUUUAGUGAGGAAGAUAACGACGGUACUCACAGAAGAAGUCCUGGCUAACUCCGUGCCAGCAGCCGCGGUAAUACGGAGAGGGCUAGCGUUAUUCGGAAUUAUUGGGCGUAAAGGGCGCGUAGGCUGAUUAAUAAGUUAAAAGUGAAAUCCCGAGGCUUAACCUUGGAAUUGCUUUUAAAACUAUUAAUCUAGAGAUUGAAAGAGGAUAGAGGAAUUCCUGAUGUAGAGGUAAAAUUCGUAAAUAUUAGGAGGAACACCAGUGGCGAAGGCGUCUAUCU